GGCACGGCGGGCAGCGCCGCUGGAGGAGCCCGGCCCGCUCCCCGGCCCCGGCCCCGGCCCCGGCCGCCCCGGCGAGGGGAAGGCUGCGACAGCCGCCCGCCGGUUCCCGCUGCCCGCUGGGGACCCUGGCACGUCUGGCACGUCUUCCGCGCCCCACGGCCCGCACCGUGCCCCGUGUGCCCUCUCCCGACUCGGGACGGUGCCCAGCAGCUUCGUUUCCCUCCGCACCUGGUGCCCACCCGCUGACGAAGGAUGCUGUCCGGCGCGCUGAUCCACCCUGAGUGGGAACCCCAAAUAGGUGCCCCGUUUGGAACCCCUAACUGCGCCCUUUUUCUGGAAGGCCUGUGCCUCUCCCAGCCUGGAGAGAACAGCCAGGCUCAACCUCUGCACCUGGCGGUGGCUUCCUGCUCCCCAGGGCACGGACACCCCCAUUGUCCCCCCCACCUGGGCUUUCCACGCAUCCCAUCCAUGCAUCUUUAUAAUUCCCGCUGCUGGAAGGCAGCUCCAUCCAUGACCACCCUCCCGGCCAUCCUCCUGCGACUCCCGCGGGCCGGGAUUUUCAGGGCACGGCAGCAUGGAACACCCAAACGUGUCCGUGAGGAGGGAGGAUGCUCGGAGAAAAACCCUCCUGACUGACUCUGAAGGCUUAUUUCCAACAUGCACCCUUCAGGACUCUCUGGAGCUGGAAAACAGAGCUAAAUAAAUGCGGAGUUCUUCC